rnacentral:lncRNA from 1 species
GUCAGGAGCCAACAUCAAAGGUUAAUAUCGCAGGGCCUGGAGGUAAGGAAUCUGAAGUUCAGAGAAUGUAAGUAACUGCUCCAAGGUCAUCCAUGUAGGGUUGAGGGUCUGAACCAAUUCCCUCUCUCCCUAAGUCUACACUCAACCAGUAUACCGUGGCACCAUUUAUUUUGACAAGAAGAAUUACCAACAGAUAAAAAGCAAAAAAGUGAUGUUUCCUCCAAAGGGAAGAUAGACUUCAGGAAUCUGCUUGCACCCCCCUGGCUCUGGGCACCUCACCUGUGCAAUUCCAGACCAGGCCAUCUGUCCUCAAGAGGCCGCUGGCCUCAGAGCCUUCUACCCCGUCAAGAAGAGCCUUUCUCUCCCCACUUAUGGGGGAUCAUCUGCUUAAACUAGGCCGGAGUCAUAAUCAUUCAUUCCAGAAGGGGCUGUGAUUCACAUCUGAGCUUCAGAAAAUGGUUUAGUUUGAUUUAAAGGGGAGAUGAAAGCAAAAUAAAUGCUCAGAUGCUGACAAAUUUCUCCAGAUCUUAAUUUACAUUCAUUUUCCUUUCAGAGCAUUUGAUUUGUUUUUAUUUUCAAACUGUGUUGUACCACAUGCAAGGAAAAUAGAUUUACUUAAGCUGUAUCCUGUGAUUUCAUUGUUUAUUAAUAUCAAUACCAAGUAGAUGAGGAGUGCUAAGAGAGGAACAUCAGAUGGCUUUCCAUCUUCUCUCUAGGAAGCCAUAAUGAGAACCAUCAAGCUUAGGAGUUUCAGAGGCUUAGGCAGUCUUCAGGGCUGACAGCCACACUGAGUGUCACUUCCCCAGAUGCUCCCUUGUAGUCAGACUGACCUUGGAACAAUGCAACUGGAAGACUUUAGUCCCCUCCCUAGGAAUAGGAUGUGUGUUGAUAUUCCUAGUGUGUGUCUAAACAUGGUCUGCAUUUAGCUUGAGUGUUGACAUUCAUCGAUCCCUAAAUGUUUCAAAAGAGGGAAGCAUUCCAGCCUAGCUUUUCAGGGAAGCAGAGAAUCAGGUUUUUCAGGACUGGGGGCAGGAAGGCCUCUUAGGACAAUCACCACAGCUUCCUAACUCAUGCCCCUACCCCCAUCGGCUUUGUCUCUCCUUUGUCCUCCACAGACCUGCCAUCAUAAUAUGAUCUUACCACCUCCCUAUUCAGAAUUCUUCACCAUUAGCUACUAAAAUAAAUAAAUAAACAAAUAAUAACAACCCAUGGCCAGUGCUUCCCUUUAUUUAUCCAAUCAUUUGACAAAUAUUUAUGGAGCACCUGCUCUGUGCCAGCCAUAGUUUGGCUCUGGCCAGCCUCUUCAGCCACAUCUUCUACUCCACUGUCCCCCAACUCCACACCCUACUCCCCACUUACUCUUCAGCACUUUCU